CCCGUAUUUAUAGUCGAGUCUCAAGACAGCGUCGAUGCUCAAGACCGACCUUGAACCAACUUUGUGUUUUAUAAACCGAUCUCGAGACCCGACGCAGUCUUGGGAAGUGUAAAAUGACAGGCGAAUCUCAAGUCAUCGAUCGACCUUCCUCAAGACCGCGAUUCUAACCUAACUUUGUUUGUUAUUGUUUGAAUUUUGAAUAUUUUUAAUUCAGUUCCAACAUAUAUUUUUUGUUUUUCUAAUUACAAUAAAAAUGUAUGAAGAAGUAAAAGCAUUUUUAGAGUUUAUUGAUAAUAUUGGAGAAGAAAAUCGCCCAGGAAGUAUACAAAAGCGAUAUAUUCAAGAUAAAAAUAUAAUCUAAAAUACAAUGGAGUAUUACAAUAUUGAAAUUCAUCAGCGAAUCUCAGCGCAUUAACUUAAACAACAAAGGUUUUAUGCUACUUAUAGGAAUAUAACCAGUUUUUAUAAGGAAGCCCACUUUCCAAAAAUGUACAGGUACUAGAAGAGAAAUUAUGUAUAUUAUUGUAUUGUUCAACAACAAGGUUAUCAAGUCAUUCAAUAUUUGAUCUAAGAGCAUUAAGAGUGAAAUUGUGAAAUGGAAAGAAGUGAAAUUCCAGGAUUAUUAAUAGGAAUAGAUGACAGUAGUGGGUAUGCAUGCAGACACUAUCUACUUACCCCAGUAUUACAGCCAGGUAAUGAUCAAGAAAAUAAGAUAUUUUUACCAUAGUACUCAUGUGAGAACAAGAAAUGUAGAAAAGCUAUUUGGAACCUGGAAAGAUGAGGUAUGCCCUGUAUUGUUCAAAAUUAUAUUUCAUAUGCUUCCAUCCUUCCUCUUAGAACGUGGUCCUAUUAUGAAUGUAUAUGGAUCGUGGUAUGCCCUGUAUAGUUCAAAAUUAUAUUUCAUAUGCUUCCAUCCUUCCUCUUAGAACGUGGUCCUAUUUUGAUGAAUGUAUAUGGAUCGUGGUAUGCCCUGUAUAGUUCAAAAUUAUAUCUUCUCUGGUCUUCAUAUUUUAGAUGCUAUUUAGCCUGAUUCUAGUGCUUUAUCGUUAUUUCCAGUGCUUUAUCAAUUUAUCAUCAUUUAUUUUACCUAC